CAGCAGCCGCGGUAACACGUAGGUGGCAAGCGUUGUCCGGGAUUAUUGGGCGUAAAGGGCUCGCAGGCGGUUUCUUAAGUCUGAUGUGAAAGCCCCCGGCUCAACCGGGGAGGGUCAUUGGAAACUGGGAAACUUGAGUGCAGAAGAGGAGAGUGGAAUUCCACGUGUAGCGGUGAAAUGCGUAGAGAUGUGGAGGAACACCAGUGGCGAAGGCGACUCUCUGGUCUGUAACUGACGCUGAGGAGCGAAAGCGUGGGGAGCGAACAGGAUUAGAUACCCGGGUAGUCCCUGUCUCUUAUAC
rnacentral:rRNA from 1 species